UACAGAGGUGGCAAGCGUUGUUCGGAAUUACUGGGCGUAAAGGGCGCGUAGGCGGCUUUUUAAGUCAGACGUGAAAUCCCCCGGCUUAACCUGGGAACUGCGUCUGAUACUGGGAAGCUUGAGUUCGGGAGAGGGAUGUAGAAUUCCAGGUGUAGCGGUGAAAUGCGUAGAUAUCUGGAGGAAUACCGGUGGCGAAGGCGGCAUCCUGGACCGGCAUUGACGCUGAGGAGCGAAAGCCAGGGGGGCAAACGGG
rnacentral:rRNA from 1 species